rnacentral:rRNA from 1 species
AUUGAACGCUGGCGGCAGGCCUAACACAUGCAAGUCGAGCGGAGCGGCGGACGGGUGAGUCAUGACUGGGAAGCUGCCUGGUCGUGGGGGAUACAGUCCGGAAACGGACGCUAAAACCGCAUACUAUCAGAUGAGCCUAGGUGGGUUGAGGUAGUUGGUGGGGGAAAGGCCUACCAAGGCGACGAUCCGUAACUGGUCUGAGAGGAUGAUCAUGCACACUGGAACGUGGACACGGUCCAGACUCCUACGGGAGGCAGCAGUGGGGAAUAUUGGACAAUGGGCGGAAGUCUGAUCCAGCCAUGCCGCGUGUGUGAAGAAGGUCCUCGGAUUGUAAAGCACUUUAAGUUGGGAGGCGUUACCGACAGAAUAAGCACCGGCUAACUUCGUGCCAGCAGCCGCGGUAAUAC